AAAAAUUUCCUAAACUUCUCUCCCUUUGAAAAAACUGUGAAGCAACACCAUUCUCACUUCCCCUUAAUCACACAGCUAACACCAUUCUCUGAACACAACACCGUUGCCUCGGUUACCUUUGUUCCUCUUUGUCACCACCGUUCAAUGGUCACCUGAGUUCCACCUUGUCACCGCCGUUCGAUCGUUGUCCUUCGAGUUCCACCUUGUCACCGUUGUUGGAUCGUGAUUCCACCUUGUCAGUGCUGUUCGAUCGUUGUCCUACGUGUUCCACACUGUCACCGCUGUUGGGUUUUACUUUUCAGGGUCACUGCAAGGAAUAUGUUUGGAAGAAUGCCUGAAAGAAAACAAGUACCUUUUCUUAGAGUCAUUUGACUCUUGUUUUGCUUGCUUGGAAGGUGACUUACUUUUGGCACAAUGCGUUGUAGAUCUUUGGAGCUACUUUACUUUGGAAACCAUUUUAUUAGAAUCAACAAGUUUGCAGCUUUCGACCUGAACUCAAUGUUUUAUCACACUUCAAAAGAUGCUCUCAGCUUGCAAUGGUAUCAGAAUGAGUUUCCCAAGGUGAAGGAAUUGACCCACUUACUAGCAAAUGUGGAUGCAGUUAAUGGUAGACUCAUUGAUGUAAAGAGUAAUUCAACCCUUUUUGAUGAUGACAUUGAGCGUGACAUGUGUACCUUCAAGUCCCUUGUUCGUGGGUAUGUUGGGUCUGCAUUUGUUCAGCACAAAAUGAAACAUGUUAUGACCUCUUUUGUUUUAAAUGCAAAACAUGAAUCUUUUACCCCUUUUGGUAAAGCAAAUGAAAGAGAGCCUAUGGUGGUUGAUUCACUAACUAAAGUGAGCAACUUUCUUAGUGUUUCUGCUCAACAAAGGAAGUUGGUUCGUCACAAAGUGUGCUCCCAGGUUACUCAGCAUCACAUAUGGACUGGUGCACUUAAAGAAGUUCUGAAUGGUUUUGCAGUUGAUUUGGAUUGUUUGUCUUCUCGGGGCUUAAACAACGAUGCUUUAUUGGGUGGCCAAAUUGUUCAUAGCUGUUUGAACUUUCUGACUGAAACUGGUGUCUUUUCGGAUCCCGGGUCAUCUUCAUGGAUGAAGCUUUCAUCUUCUAAAAUGUUUGAUUUCGGUGACCCACAAAAAUGGGAAGAUGUUCUUGUGAUGUUCAAUGAUCUGAUUGAAUGCUGUAAAAAGGAAACAAGGUUGAAGUUGCAUGUAGCUAAGGCUGAGAUCAUGAAGGAGGGGCUUUUGCACAUAAGGGAUGUUUCAGUUGACAACAGUGUUGGAUAUAAGGAAGCUCAGCAUCAAGAAAGCCUUGUGAGGAAGAAGCUUUCCAAAAUGUUGGGUCACUCCUCUCGCUGCUUAUUCACUUUAUUACUGUAUUACCUCUAUGGAAGGGUGGUAGAUAUUGAAGUAGACAUGUGUGGUGGGGUCUAUCCAAAUGGAAGUAAUGACAAGUUUUGCUUGUUUAUGGGAAGAAUCCUGACUUCAGAUAGUGAGAAAAUGGUUGGGCGUGGUGUGAAGCAGUUGGACCGGGCACUAGGGAUUUUCAAGUUUGUGUGGGAAAUGGCUGAAAUGAAAGGGCAUUUGGACUUGCAGGGCCAUAUGUGGUGUGUUGGAGCAGACAGUAGAAUUCUUAGGUAUAGAGGUAACACGUACUUUGUGCAUGGAAUUUGCCUUUGAAUAGAGAUUAUUGUAUCACUGCAUCAUCUGAUCGUACUUCAUGGCGCUAAUAUGUCCCCACUUAGCAGUUGCCUAUGAAAACCAAUUUUUAUAAUGUGUUAAGGACACGAUCUUAUUUUCCAAGGUGCGAAUUUAAUACCUUGGUCAAUAUUGAAUUGGCAAUGGAGGCGUGAGCCUUAUGUGAAAUGAAAGAUGGACCCUUUGGUUUCUCGCUGGGCUACUCAACUUUUGAUUAAAGGUUGUCACAAAAGAUAAAGUGAUUACUUGUGUUACAUUUGCAAGGUAAUAAUUUUGUUUUGUUUUCUCAGAAUUUUGGGUAUUAACUAUUCUAACCUGGGGUAAAACUUUGGUCAGUGUUGAUGUUUGUGAAAACAACCCUAUUUGGUCCAUGAUGCUAAGCUAAGAGCAAACUCCAAUGGGCAAACAGUAACUCCUGACUACAAAAUUUCUUAUCCACUUUCUCAUUUUUAUAAGAGCAGCUCACCAUAUGGAAAUCAUACAUUCUUCAUUUCAUGUGUGUACUCCCUGAUUACUUGUAUGCUCAAAAUGGGCAAUACUCAUUCAUUCACCUAGGAGUCUAGAUCAAUUUGAGAGGUUAGGGAAAAUGAGAGAUAACAGCUCAGUGGAACUGUUGGUUUACCUGCAAGUAACAAGCACACAUCUCAUAAAGGCAUUAAUUAUGUCAGCAUUGGUGUUCUUUUGGUAACAAUCAGUGAUCUCCUCAUUCAAACAUAACUAUGGUGCCUACUUUGACAAUGUCCAUGUCGGUGUUUGUGGUCCAGUUCAAUUGGUAUCAAUAAAGAAUAACAGAGUGCUUCCAUUGGCAACUGCUUAGUGGGGGGCAUGUUAGCGCCAUGUGAGUAUUCUUCUUCUAACAGUUCAUUCUAUAUUUGAAAUUACAUUAUCUAGAUCCGAAACUUGCAUCACUUGGUUGAAAGACAUAAGUUGUUACUACUUGUAUCCAAUGCAUGUAAGAAAAUACACUUGUUUUAACUCGGGCAUGUUA